rnacentral:rRNA from 1 species
CCCUUAGAUGUUCUGGGCCGCACACGCGCUACACUGAAGGAGGCAGCGUGUACUCCUGGAUCGAAAGAUUUGGGUAACCUGCGAAUCUCCUUCGUGCUAGGGAUUGAGGUUUGCAAUUAUCCUUCAUGAACGAGGAAUUCCCAGUAAGUGCAAGUCAUAAGCUUGCGCUGACUACGUCCCUGCCCUUUGUACACACCGCCCGUCGCUACUACCGAUUGAAUGAUUUAGUGAGGACUUCGGACUGGGACCGAUGCGGCUUUCGGGCUGCGUCGGUAUUCUGGAAAGAUGUCCAAACUGUAUCAUUUAGAGGAAGUAAAAGUCGUAACA